rnacentral:rRNA from 1 species
ACGGCCUUAGCGCGGUGGUCCCACCUGACCCCAUGCCGAACUCAGAAGUGAAACGCCGUAGCGCCGAUGGUAGUGUGGGGUCUCCCCAUGCGAGAGUAGGGAACUGCCAGGC